rnacentral:rRNA from 1 species
AUUGAACGCUGGCGGCAGGCCUAACACAUGCAAGUCGAGCGGAUCGGCGGACGGGUGAGUAAUGCCUAGGAAUCUGCCUGGAAGUGGAGGAUAACGUCCGGAAACGGGCGCUAAUACCGCAUACUAUCAGAUGAGCCUAGGUCGGAGGAGCUAGUUGGUGGGGUAAAGGCCUACCAAGGCGACGAUCCGUAACUGGGCUGAGAGGAUGAUAAGUCACACUGGAAAUACGACACGGUCCAGACGCCUACGGGAGGCAGCAGUGGGGAAAAUUGGACAAUGGGCGAAAGCCUGAUCCAGCCAUGCCGCGUGUGUGAAGAAGGUCUUCGGAUUGUAAAGCACUUUAAGUUGGGAGGCGUUACCAACAGAAUAAGCACCGGCUAACUGCGUGCCAGCCGCCGCGGUAAUUG